AGAAAAUCUAUUGAAGGGAGAGAACAUUUAAACUAGGGGAUACAACUUAAGGAAAGAAGUAAAAGUGAGACCAAGAAGAUAUGUUUGAUGAACUGGUUUGACCAGAACUCAUGUUUCAAAUUGGAAACAUUCAAAUAGGAAGAUGGUAACUAAGGAACGUGCACCUUUGCUUGAAGUAUCAUCUCUCCUGCCAUGUGUACCUGGACGGAGGGGAAGGGAAAGUGGACUCCAAAGACACGGGGAAAGUGAAUAUCAAUGACUUUUGUACACGUCAACAGACCACCUGCUACUUCCACAGGACUUUGAAGACCUGAGGUGAGGCUGGUAUAUAUAGUUCAUGUGUGCUUACGAAGACAUGCACAAGCAUAGCCUGGAGCAGCGUGGCCCCAGGAAGA
rnacentral:lncRNA from 1 species